rnacentral:rRNA from 1 species
UACGAAGGGGGCUAGCGUUGCUCGGAAUCACUGGGCGUAAAGCGCACGUAGGCGGAUUCUUAAGUCGGUGGUGAAAGCCUGGAGCUCAACUCCAGAACUGCCUUUGAUACUGAGGAUCUUGAGUUCGGGAGAGGUGAGUGGAACUGCGAGUGUAGAGGUGAAAUUCGUAGAUAUUCGCAAGAACACCAGUGGCGAAGGCGGCUCACUGGCCCGAUACUGACGCUGAGGCACGAAAGCGUGGGGAGCAAACAGGG